GGGAAAUGAAAAAAAUAGGUGUAGAGGACUCGUACCGCCAUACACAUGGGGUCACUCGAGCAGAUGCGUUAGCAAGGGAACCAAAGCUGAUUGAGGGAAGAUGGUGCAUCAGUACCAAAGUGAUGUCGGGGUGUUAACGCGCUAGAUUGUAGACCUGCUUCGGAUCCUAAGGACCUUCUGGCAACUGAUGAUGGGUGUGUAACUUUUUAAAGAGAAUUGGGUUGUCCUUGAUGAUUGUGCAGGUAGAAAAUUA
rnacentral:lncRNA from 1 species